GAUGAACGCUGGCGGCGUGCUUAACACAUGCAAGUCGAACGAUGAAGCCCAGCUUGCUGGGUGGAUUAGUGGCGAACGGGUGAGUAACACGUGAGUAACCUGCCCUUAACUCUGGGAUAAGCCUGGGAAACUGGGUCUAAUACCGGAUAGGAGCGUCCACCGCAUGGUGGGUGUUGGAAAGAUUUAUCGGUUUUGGAUGGACUCGCGGCCUAUCAGCUUGUUGGUGAGGUAAUGGCUCACCAAGGCGACGACGGGUAGCCGGCCUGAGAGGGUGACCGGCCACACUGGGACUGAGACACGGCCCAGACUCCUACGGGAGGCAGCAGUGGGGAAUAUUGCACAAUGGGCGCAAGCCUGAUGCAGCGACGCCGCGUGAGGGAUGACGGCCUUCGGGUUGUAAACCUCUUUCAGUAGGGAAGAAGCGAAAGUGAUGGUACCUGCAGAAGAAGCACCGGCUAACUACGUG
rnacentral:rRNA from 1 species